UUUCCAUGAAAGAUUGUCUAGAUAUUUUGCCUGUAAGCUUGUUUGGGGUUGCUAAUUGAAUUGAAAAGACUUGCCCACCGUGGGUGUCAUCAUCCCCUAGGCUGUGGAUUCUCACCUGUGGAAAAGUGGAAAAAGCAGCUGAGUACAUAAAACCUGGAGGGGAAUACAAAUUUCUUCCUGGAAAACACAUUUCCCUUCCUGCCCUCCCUGCACCCUCGGAUAAAUACAUGAGCACGCAGCGAUUUGCCAACAGCAGCUCCAGGCAUGAAGCACAACAUCUGUUAGCGAGACGCUGGAGAGACAGUGGAAGGCAUGCUGGCUGCCUGCCCACCUUCAGACUCCAGAUUUUUGCUGACAAGGCUGUCAAUAAAUGGGCAGAUGGCAUGGGCUCUGCUGGCGGGAGAGUUCAGUUAACCCGACACCAGACAUUAUCUCCAGUUCAUGGUGCACUGGGCUGAGCCCUUCGCUGGACCAUUAAAGCCGUUCCUUGAUGAAGCACAGAGAGCAAGACGCCAGACUAGGAAGUAGGAGGCAGGCGCUCGCUUCCUUUAAUUACAUGAACUGAGUGUAUCCUGCAGUUGGCAGGCAGAGCGAGUGAGAUUUGUUAGUCCUGUGACCACAGAAGUGGGGUGGGAGCAUCCACACUGCAUUUCAUGCUGGUUAAACAUGGGUAUCUCAUCCUCAGGAGCCAUGUACCUCCCUGAGGAUAGAGUUUAGUAUAAAAUAAACA
rnacentral:lncRNA from 1 species